AUACGAAGGGUGCAAGCGUUGUUCGGAUUUACUGGGCGUAAAGCGCGCGCAGGCGGAUUAAUAAGUCAGAUGUGAAAUCUCGGGGCUCAACCCCGAAACUGCGUCUGAAACUGUUGAUCUAGAGUUAUGGAGGGGAGAAGGGAAUUUCGCAUGUAGGGGUAAAAUCCGUAGAGAUGCGAAGGAACACCAGAGCCGAAGGGGCUUCUCUGGCCAUACACUGACGCUGAGGCGCGAAAGCGUGUGUAGCAAACAGGAUUAGAUACCCUGGUAGUCCACGCCGUAAACGAUGUGUACUAGAUAUUGGAGAUAUUGACUCUUCAGUGUCGUAGCUAACGCAAUAAGUACACCGCCUGGGAAGUACGGUCGCAAGACUAAAACUCAAAGGAAUUGACGGGGGCCCGCACAAGCGGUGGAUUAUGUGGUUUAAUUCGAAGCAACGCGCAGAACCUUACCUAGGCUUGAAAUCCCGAGAAGAUCGACCAAAAUUGAUUGUGCUCUUCGGAGAACUC
rnacentral:rRNA from 1 species